AUUCCCCACAGGGCCCCUGGCUCAGCGUUCAGGAUUCUGGCUGAAAGAGCCGGCGUCCCUGACGGUGCAGGAGGGCCUGUGUGUGCAUGUGCCCGGCAGCUUCUCCUACCCCAGUAUGUUCUGGGCUGUCUUUCCCUGCUCUCGGCUACUGGUUCCGGGAAGGGGCCAGUGUACACCAGGAUGCUCCAGUGGCCACAAACAACCCAGAUCGAGAAGUGCAGGAGGAGACCCAGGGCCGAUUCCACCUCCUCGGGGGCCCCCGGGGCUACAACUGCUCCCUGGGCAUCAGAGAUGCACAGAGAAGGGACUCGGGGACAUACUUCUUCAGGGUGGAGAGAGGGCCUUAUGUGCAAUAUAGUUACCUGCAGAACCAGCUCUCCGUGCGUGUGACGGCUCUGACACAGAUACCUGACAUCCACACCCAGGGGCCCCUAGAAUCUGACCACCCCAAGAACAUUACCUGUAGUGUGCCAUGGGCCUGUAAGAGGGGGACACCCCCGACCUUCUCCUGGAUCGGGGCCGCCCUCACCUCCAGGGGCUCCAAGACUCGCCACUCCUCCGUGCUCACCCUCACCCCGAGGCCCCAGGACCACGGCACCAACCUUACCUGUCGGGUGACCCUCCCCGGAGCUGGGGUGAGCACAGAGAGGACCAUCCAGCCCACCGUGUCCUGUGAGUGCCAGGCCAGAACGCCAGGGUCCCUGAGGGCUGUGGGUGUUGGGGAGGGGGAGGCAGGGCUCGGAAAGGAUACUUGGGGAGAGUUCUUAGAGGCACAGGAUCAAGACAGAGAGAACACCCAGGCCCCAGCCCCUUGCUCACGGCCACUUCAUCAUACCGCAGGCGGCCAAGUGUUUGUUUCUGUCCCAGAUGCUCCACGGAGCCUGACCAUCCGCAUCUUCAGAGGAAACAGCACAGCGGCAGCCCCACCUCGGGCCUCCGCCUUCUCCCACCUGGACAUAGUGAGACCAUGUGCAUCUGGACCAGCCUCCUCUCUGGCCUGCCAGUCUCUGCAACACCCCCCAGCCCACCACAACUCGGUCCAAAGGUGUCUCUACAAUGCCCUGGAUCUGGCCCCUGUUCCUCCCCUGCUCAGACCCUCCCAUAGUUCCCUGUGGUUCUUAGAGGAAAGGCUGGGAGCAUCACCUGUGUGUGAGCCUCCCAGUCUUGCCCUACAAGUGGUCAGACCUACGUGUGUCCACGCGCCUCCUCAGCAUCACACAUCAAAACCUACCUCCUGGGAUGUCCUCUGCCAGGUCUAGACAUGCCAACUCUUGCUCAGAGGUCCAGCCACCUGUUCUGGGGUCAUCAGGUGCCUCUCCUUCUCCCCACCUCAACGGAUGGAUCUUCACUCCUACUUGCCUUUGCUUAUAACACUUGUCUGAGAGACACUGUUUUCCACACCUGUGUCUGUGGAAGGGCAGAGGGAGAGAAGGGGCUCUCAGCCCUGCCCUUCUGGCCCUUCUCUGUCCCCUAGUCCCGGAGGUCCUGGGCAAUGCCACUUCUCUUCGAGUUCAGGAGGGCCAGUCCCUGUGCCUGGUCUGUGACACUGGUGGCAACUUCCCUACCAGGCUGGGCUGGUCCCGGGGAAUCCUGACCCUGCGCCCCUCCCAGCCCUCAAAUCCCGGGGUCCUAGUGCUGCCCUGGACGGUCUUGGGUGAUGGAGGAGAAUUCACCUGCCGAGCUCAGCACUUGUGGAGCUCCUACCAUGUUUCCCUCUGGAGAGCAGUGGAGCCCCUAGCCUCUAAUCCUCACCCUACUCAGAGGGACCCUCAUGGGGGCUGGCUUCCUCUUCACCUAUGGCCUCACCUGGGUCUACUACACCGGGUUCAGAGGCUCCAAAGAGGAUAAGGCUGCAAAUUGUAACUGAGCCCUCUUCUUCAUAGUGGUGCCCCCGUCCGGUGGAUGAGGAUCCGUCAAAGCACUGGAUGCUGAGACUCACCCCUGUACAACUCUGUGGAGCAAGGAGGCCUGGACGCUGCCUCCUCUCCAGAAAUAACAUCUCUCUCCCUCUGGUCGUUAAGACUCUUCCUGCUGGUUCCAAAUCUGUGGUGGGGAGGGCGAGUGAGGACAUCUAGAUAGAUUUUUGUUAUUAUUAAUUUGAAUUAUGCAUACCCCAUGUAAUAUAUUGCUUCUGUGUGUUUAUCUUGGAUAAGCCCCAAAUUCAACCCCAUAAUAUAUCGUUAUAAAUCUCAUGAUACAUUAUUUUUAUUUUUUUUAAA